rnacentral:rRNA from 1 species
UAACACGUAAACAACCUGCCUUCAGGAUGGGGACAACAGACGGAAACGACUGCUAAUACCGAAUAAGUUCCAAGGCGCAUGGCCCAUGGAAGAAAAGGUGGCCUCUACCUGUAAGCUAUCGCCUGAAGAGGGGUUUGCGUCUGAUUAGCUGGUUGGAGGGGUAACGGCCCACCAAGGCGACGAUCAGUAGCCGGUCUGAGAGGAUGAACGGCCACACUGGAACUGAGACACGGUCCAG